UGCAUUCACUACUGUAAGUCGCUCUGGAUAAGAGCGUCUGCUAAAUGACAAAUG
rfam:Salmo salar isolate Sally breed double haploid chromosome ssa28, whole genome shotgun sequence.